GCCCCCGCCUUCCUUCCCACCCCGCGUCGGGCCGAGCCCCGCUCGAGCCGUCCCUCCCGACGCCGUUCCCGACACAGUCGCCGAGGGGCCGCGGCCGGGGUUUGGGGGGAUCUGGGGGAAGCGGGUUCCGAGCGCCUCCCGCUCCCAUCUCCUGUUUCACGGCGACGUGCCGUUACCCGGAGGAGCUACGGGAAGGGAAGCGCGGAUCCUGCGCGGAUCCUGCGCGAUCACAGCGGUCCCCGCGCGGCGCCGCCCCCGUCUCGGGCCCGUCGGCACCGCGCGGCCCUUCCCCGGCGGCACAAACCCCUCCGCCCCCCGCGGAGCCCGGCAGCGCCUCGGAGGAGCGGGGACGAGCCGAGCUCAGCGGCAGCACCGCGACCAGCGGGACCCCGCGCGGCCGCCCCCGCCCCGCUCCGCUCCGCUCCGCUCCGCUCCGCUCCCCGCCCCGCGGUACCUGCAGCGCCGCCGCCUCGGCCCGGACCUGCCACGGACACUGAGGACAGUGACACACUGAGGACAGUGACGCACCGAGCGCGGACGAGCCUCCGCUCCCCCCGCACGGAGCCGGGCGCUGCCGGGGGCGGUGCCGCGCAGCGAGGCCGCCCCGUGGGGGGCGCGGCCUGUCGGGAGGGGCGGGGGAGAUGGCGGCGUGGGCGCCGUGCUGCUGCUGGGGGGGGGGGGGUUGUGCAGCGUGACGGCCGGCAGCCGGGACCGGGGCCGUCCGCGGUUGUCCCUGAACUGUCUCCGUGCAGCGGGGACUCGAGGCUGCUCAGCGUGUCACGGCUUCUGGCUGCCAACGGGAAACCGCGCGUGGGAGCGCUGGGGAAGGCAACGGAAAAUAAACGGGGCCAGGGGCGCAGCGGGUCGGGGCUGCGGGGCCGAGCUCCCUCCGCAGCUGCAGGGGCGGCCGGGCCGCAGCGCCGGGCUCAUAACGAGGCUCAGCCGGGAAGAAGCUGCACGAACCCACCCGGCGCUGCCCGGCGAGUUUAUUUGUGCGAGCCUUGGUGA
rnacentral:lncRNA from 1 species